rnacentral:lncRNA from 1 species
AUGAUAUAAUGAAACAACAUUGUGGAGAGGAAAGCAUUAGGGGAGCCCACGGCUACAAAACAAGUGAGAAGAGGUGGGAGAAAGAGAAACUACGCCACCUCCUCUGCAGCCGAGCGCACGCAGCAGCCUGGCGUGACAAGUGGGCGACGCCAGGGACAGAGAGUGGGGGUCCUCCGCCCGCUCCGGGGACCCUGUCGCCCACCGUGGUGCGCUGAGCAACUUUUAGCCGGCAGCCCCGCACCUGUCUCAGAGUCCCCAUCGCUCCCCACCAACCAUCAUGGGAAAAUUCUAGAAGAAUACGCUCUCGGAAUCUACGUGCGCAUCAUUUUCCUCCUCACUCCAGAGGAAGGAACCAGAAAAGAGAGCAAAGCGGUGUAGUGUUCAGCCUCAAGAACCCCCGUGCAUCCCAGGGAUGGCGCCCUCUACAGGAGGGUCCUUGCCUCACUUUCGGGAGUCUCUUAACUGCAUCUCGUUGAUUCCUAGCGUUAGAAGAACUGAGCUAACAGGAGUCUGCCACCUCUCUGCCUUGCUGAUGCACCCAGGCAGGGCUCACUGGUUUGCAGGAGUACAUGACCACAGAUCAGAGCCAUUGGCUGCACAGAUACCUGACUCUGGGCUCUCAGGAAGACUCAGGCAGAGAUGGGGAGUCGGCCUGCAAGCUGGGACGCUAGAGCUCACGUGCAGUUCUCCAUUUAGCUAGGAGGUUUCCAGGGCAACCACCGAAGCAGUAAUUAAAGAUGAAGAGCUAAAAGAGAGAAGAAUAGCAGCAACCUGGUCUCUUUUCACGGAACACAGUAAGCCACCAAAGAGGUAACUGAAGUCAUUUGCGUAUUCGUUUGUCUUGUUAAUAUCUGUAGUGCUUAGGAUAGUCUGACAAGGGUGAUGGGAGACAGUGCUUGGUCUUUUCUAAGUGAAGGAGGCUGCAAAUGAACCAGUCGCAAACAUAGAAAAUGUCACACAAAGCCAUACCCUCUGUUCCAAAAGGCAGGGUGAAUGAGCAGCCUUGGUGAGUUCUGAGAACUCAGCAAGCCUGAAUGGAUCUGAGAAACUGUAUUCUUGGCACACCAAUUUAUUUUUGCCUUAAGGCACCCAUUUAUAAUAACUUUGAAUGUGAAAUCGGCUUCAGUUUUGAAACUAAAGGUUUUCUUUGAAACUUGUUGAUACUACAAUAAUAAUCAUAGUAUUUUUAAGUAAUUGUAAUUAUUGUAACUAUUAAGCUCUCAAAAGCAAGUUGAAGCCCCUCUAGUAUUCUCUGUGUAGCUGAGACUGGCCUGAAACUUCUGGCCGUCUUGCUUCUGCCUCCUAAGUGCUGGGAUGACAGGCAUACACCACCGUGCCCAGCCUUGAAACUCCUUUUUUCAAAAAA